UCUUCCCUGUACACUUCAUAAAGCAUUUCCACUCUAUCACUCUCUCAUCUUCUCUCUCUCAACCACCGUUUCCCCUGGUUUGCUUUCUCCACUGGUAAAUCUUGAUACAUCGCAACCCUUAUAGACCCAUUUUCUCUAUAUUCUAACACCAUAGAAGUCUUCCAGCGAUCAGCUGUAGGUAAUUAUAAAAAAUCUUAUCCCUCUCUCCUCCCAUACUCUUAUUUCACAAUUAAAUUUCUUUUUUUUGGUUAUUCAACUUGAAAUUGAUCGUCUUUUGUUGUUUGCAUCUCUGCCAUCCCGACAAAGCACAUACUAAUAGAGCCCUCAGAAUUUAUUCUCCGCAAAUCGGUCAACAUGAGAUACAAUCUAUAAGGCAUUUCCUCUCUUUGUACCUGCUUCCCAUGCUCUUCCUCCAAAAUCCAUUCAUGGUAAACCCUUCUCCCUUUUCUCAAGAUUCCACCUAUGCUAAAUCGCACCACCACCAUGAGAAAUUCUUCCAACCAUCCACCUUACCGCCUCUACUAAACCGUACCACCACCUUAAUCACCACCUCCACCACUUUCCUCUUCCAUACCGCCACAGUCGAACCACUACCAAACCAUCGCAUCACGAACACACAUUCGCACCGGUCACCACCUACAAAAAUAGUAGCCACACCAUUAGAUCUGGACAUGAAACGUGAAAAGGAAUAAAGAAAAUGGAUUUGUCAAAUGAUCUUCACUACACCAGAUCCAUAUACAUUUUUCCCCUUCAUCAUUUAUGGUUAGUAACUUUCAGGUUGCUAUUAUGGUGAUUUUCAAGUUGUUCAUUCUGCCUUUUGUUCAUUAAGUAAUUGGAGCUUUCUUGGAGACAAGGCCCAUGCUAGUUGACUGGGAAAUAACAUGGCAGGGUCUUCUGAUUUUUUUUGGAUCUCAAUAGCAAAUUAGAUGGUUGAAAGUAAACGCUAUCCAACAUUUGAAGUUGAAUCCCAGCAUCGAGCCUGGAGUUGCUUCGUAGUAAAUCCAUGGAUGUUAUAAAAGGUUUCUCAAGGUGUUAGUUCCAGGGGUUUUGUUAGGUUUGUUGAGAUUGUAAAAGAAGUAGGCUUAGAAGAAGGCUUGAAGAACAUUGGUGAUAUGCAUAUUACAAAUUUAUUAAAAAUUUGAUGUCCAUCUUUUUAGAAUGUGCUUUGUUGACUUUGUAUUUUCUAUCUUGAUUUUAAAUUUCUCUUGUGUAUAUGAAGGUAUUUGAGUAAAAUCUGCCAUUGGGAAAACAGAGAAACAAGCAUCAAAACAUUUAUGUAUCUAAAAUGAAAUUCUUUAUCUUAACUUUGAUUGUAGGGUGUUUCUUUUUAACCUUUAUAAGAGAUUGUGGUAUGUGAUUGAUUUGACUGGAGGUGUAGAGAACUCGAACUGUGAAAGUUGAGCUGGUAAAGGUGCAUCUACUACUCCUCAAAGCCUCUAUGUACGGUUGAGUGGUGGUCACUUGCUUCUGUUUCUGCACCUGAGUUUGAAUAUGGGUUUGAACCUUGAUAUGAUGGCUUGGUUUGUAUCUGCCUCUCUUUACCUCCACAUAGUGAGGUUGCAUUUCAGAUUAUUUUGUACUUGGAAUAAUAAUAUUUGCUGGAUUUUUUUAAUGUAUUGAGCCCAUUUGAAAUGAGCUGACUUCAUAAUUACAUCCUCAUCUUCAAACCCUUAUACUGGGAAUUUUGCUUUUAUUAUUGUCCAUAAUGGUACUCUGUAAGUGGAUUUUGAUAAUUGUUGUAUAACAUUGUUAGUUUGUUCUUUUGGUGGUAUGUGUUCUUUUUUCUUCUUUUAGGGGAACUGUUGUAGGAGGAUUUCGAAAUUCACACCAUCACAUUAGCUUUCAAAGAGCUACAAUUUACUGGAAUGGCUUUAUUCUAUAUCGUAUUCUCCAAAGCAUCUCCAAAUAGUUGUAGAAGAGUGUGAGUCUGAUGUGGAAACAUGAAAUUAAAUGUUUUGUAU